rnacentral:tRNA from 1 species
GUAUCAGUGGUUCAGUGGUAGAAUUCCCACCUUCUAUGUGGAGACCCAAGUUCAAUUCCCGGCCAAUGCA